rnacentral:rRNA from 1 species
CCUACGGGGUGCAGCAGUGAGGAAUAUUGGUCAAUGGACGAGAGUCUGAACCAGCCAAGUAGCGUGAAGGAUGACUGCCCUAUGGGUUGUAAACUUCUUUUAUAUGGGAAUAAAAUGUUCCACGUGUGGGAUUUUGUAUGUACCAUAUGAAUAAGGAUCGGCUUACUCCGUGCCAGCAGCCGCGGUAAUACGGUGGAUCCGAGCGUUAUCCGGAUUUAUUGGGUUUAAAGGGAGCGGAGGGGGAUUGUUAAGUCAGUUGUGAAAGUUUGCGGCUCAACCGUAAGAUUGCAGUUGAAACUGGCAGUGUGGAGUACAGUAGAGGUGGGCGGAAUUCGUGGUGUAGCGGUGAAAUGCGUAGAUAUCACGAAGAACUCAGAUUGCGAAGGCAGCGCACUGGACUGCAACUGACACUGAGGCUCGAAAGUGUGGGUAUCAAACAGGAUUAGAUACCCGGGUAGUC